AGAGUCAGCCGAGCAGUCGCCGGCGCACUUGUUGCGCGGGAGGAAAGUCCGGGCUCCAUAGGGCAGGGUGCCAGGUAACGCCUGGGGGGCGCGAGCCUACGGAAAGUGCAGCAGAGAGUAGACCGCCUGCAAACAUUGUUUGUCGGUAAGGGUGAAAGGGUGCGGUAAGAGCGCACCGCGCGCGUGGUAACACGUCGCGGCAAGGUAAACCCCACCUGGAGCAAGGCCAAAUAGAGAUCCAUCGACGUUGCCCGCGUUGGAUCCGGGUAGGCCGCUUGAGAUCGUCGGUGACGACGAUCCUAGAUGAAUGACUGUUCACGACAGAACCCGGCUUACAGGCUGACUCUCACU
rnacentral:RNase_P_RNA from 1 species